rnacentral:misc_RNA from 1 species
GAUGAAGAACGUAGCGAAAUGCGAUAAGUAGUGUGAAUUGCAGAAUUCAGUGAAUCAUCGAAUCUUUGAACGCACAUUGCGCCCCUUGGUAUUCCAUGGGGCAUGCCUGUUCGAGCGUCAUUUGUACCUUCAAGCUCUGCUUGGUGUUGGGUGAUUGUCUAUCUUUAUAGACUCGCCUUAAAGUCAUUGGCAGCCGACAUAUUGGCCUGGGAGCGCAGCACAAGUCGCGCUUCUUGUCAUGAAUGUUGGCGUCCAGUAAGUCUACAUAUUUUGCUCUUGACCUCGGAUCAGGUAGGGAUACCCGCUGAACUUAAGCAUAUCAAUAAGCGGAGGA